rnacentral:rRNA from 1 species
GAUGAACGCUAGCGGCAGGCCUAACACAUGCAAGUCGAACGGUAACAGGGAAAGCUUGCUUUUCCGCUGACGAGUGGCGCACGGGUGCGCAACGCGUAUAGAACCUACCUUUUACUGGAGAAUAGCCCAGAGAAAUUUGGAUUAAUGCUCCAUAGAAUUGUUUUGAGGCAUCUUAAGAUGAUUAAAGGUUACGGUAAAGAUGGCUAUGCGUCCUAUUAGUUAGUUGGUAAGGUAACGGCUUACCAAGACGUCGACAGGUAGGGGCCCUGAGAGGGGGAUCCCCACACUGGUACUGAGACACGGACUAGACUCCUACGGGAGGCAGCAGUGAGGAAUAUUGGACAAUGGGCGGAAGCCUGAUCCAGCCAUGCCGCGUGCAGGAAGCAG